GACGAACGCUGGCGGCGUGCUUAACACAUGCAAGUCGAACGGAAAGGCCCUGCUUUUGUGGGGUGCUCGAGUGGCGAACGGGUGAGUAACACGUGAGUAACCUGCCCUUGACUUUGGGAUAACUUCAGGAAACUGGGGCUAAUACCGGAUAGGAGCUCCUGCUGCAUGGUGGGGGUUGGAAAGUUCCGGCGGUUGGGGAUGGACUCGCGGCUUAUCAGCUUGUUGGUGGGUUAGUGGCUUACCAAGGCUUUGACGGGUAGCCGGCCUGAGAGGGUGACCGGCCACAUUGGGACUGAGAUACGGCCCAGACUCCUACGGGAGGCAGCAGUGGGGAAUAUUGCACAAUGGGCGGAAGCCUGAUGCAGCAACGCCGCGUGCGGGAUGACGGCCUUCGGGUUGUAAACCGCUUUCGCCUGUGACGAAGCGUGAGUGACGGUAAUGGGUAAAGAAGCACCGGCUAACUACGUG
rnacentral:rRNA from 1 species